CCUACGGGUGGCAGCAGUGGGGAAUAUUGGACAAUGGGCGAAAGCCUGAUCCAGCCAUGCCGCGUGUGUGAAGAAGGCCUUCGGGUUGUAAAGCACUUUCAGUGGGGAAGAAAGCCUUGGGGCUAAUACCCUCGAGGAAGGACAUCACCCACAGAAGAAGCACCGGCUAACUCCGUGCCAGCAGCCGCGGUAAUACGGAGGGUGCGAGCGUUAAUCGGAAUUACUGGGCGUAAAGCGCGCGUAGGCGGUCUGAUAAGCCGGUUGUGAAAGCCCCGGGCUCAACCUGGGAACGGCAUCCGGAACUGUCAGGAUAGAGUGCAGGAGAGGAAGGUAGAAUUCCCGGUGUAGCAGUGAAAUGCGUAGAGAUCGGGAGGAAUACCAGUGGCGAAGGCGGCCUUCUGGACUGACACUGACGCUGAGGUGCGAAAGCGUGGGUAGCAAACAGGAUUAGAUACCCCAGUAGUC
rnacentral:rRNA from 1 species